UGUUAUAAGUGUCAUAACCUGGUCUCCACUUGAGUUUUCUGUUUCAUAUUGUUACUAAUUAAGAUUCCGUAUCAUGUUUACAUCUUUACAGUGCUUGAAACGAUAGACCACUUGGCCAAUCAUUGCAUUUUCUUCCAUAUCACGUGGUCACAUGGGGUACGUGGCCAAUUGUGUUCAUGAACAGUGUGUUUAACAUGUUUUGGUUCAAGAAGGUGUAGGCAGCUAGAGUGACAAGCUGCACGUUUAUUCAAACUUACAGUAUUUACGUGACUUUUCUUUUCUCUCAGCUUGAAUUAUGUUUCAGAGUCAAUACUGUGUAUAUGUGACCUUGUAAGAGCCCUCUACCCCACACAAAACUGCUGAUGAGUUGUGACCGCUCCGGCGAGUCACCCAGCUAGCUCGAUUUAGUCGCGUGUGCAUCAUUUGUCAGCUGUUUCAUAAGUGUCCUUCAUCCAAUUUGAAAGACAAGGCCUCACCAACUAGUUUUGUGGCUCAAAGACUCUGCAGGACCAACUCAGUCUGAACAGCCAUCAGGUGAUGAAUGCAUGUCCAUGAUGGAGCAUUUAACAAACCAGCCAAUUGUGAAAGUUUCCAAAUGAAGGCAAUGUUAACAUACAGAGAGAUGCUACACUUUCCAAACCAGGUGUCACGGUCUUGUCAAAUAUGUAAUGUCUAUUAUAGCCACUACUGCCUGGGUUGAAAACUAUGGAACUAAAUUCCAGAAUGAAAUGUUUGUAUGUGUAAGUACCGAAAAUGAAUCCCUACUUUCAGGAAAAUUGUUAACAUCAUAACAAUAAAACAUUUCUUUUGAACACCA